GGGGCGCACGGCGGGGCGGGGCGCACGGCGGCGAGCGCUAUCUGGAGCUGACCGCGCGGCUCUUAAUCCCUGGCCUUGGGAAAGUGAAUUGGCCUGAAUAGCAAGGAGGAGAACUUGGGUGUGGAAAUACCGGGAUAAGAAGACUUACCCCAAUAAGUACCUGGAUGUGCAAAGACAGAUGUAGAAAGGAAAUGACAUAUUCCCAGGAGCACAAUAACUGACACUAACUGUGGCCAAAUUCAACAAAUGAGAGAUACAGAUAAAAAUACAGAAUCUCACUCUAUUGCUCAGGCUGGAGUGCAGUGGCCACAAAGCGGGAGUUGAAGAAUGAAGUAAAAUGAAGGCGGGUAUUCAAAGAUGUCUAAUUCCAACUGCGGGUUUAAAGGAAUUCACCUAAGAAUACAUGGGAUUGGCACGAGGGAUACCAACACCGGAAUACGUGAUGAGAUGUGUGAAGAGCAUGGCAAUGGAUGCAAACUCCCUUUGUGUUUCUGGCUUUAGGCAGCUCUAUACUCUCAUGCUGUCCUACACUCAGCAGCAAUUUGUCACAAGUUUGGCGAAAUUCUUCCUACUCUUUUGAACUCCAGCCCAAUUUCCUUUCUAUCACUGCCCUAGGUCUUACUCCUCCAGAAGAAAAAGGGAAAACCGAACCUGAAUGUCCCCUAAAAGUGAAGAAAUGUCCACACUUCUAUGUGCAGAUUGGUAUCUACAUACAGACCUCUUGGAGGAGUCAGACAAACAAGAUCUUGAAUCUUUACUGAUCUCAGUUGAAAUAGACCUUUGGAAUCUACAUUCAACAUUUGAUACUGUGUGUGACUCAUGAUGAACACGCUGAAGAUACAUGAUGUUCAGUAAUUUUUACUGGGGAUAAUACCUACAAUAUACAUAAGAUGGUGUUAUUAAAGUACAUUUAAAAUUACACAAGACAUUUUAAAAUUACAUAAGUGUAUAUAAGGAGUUUAACACAAAUUUCAAUUACCUUGGCUUAAGAUGAUUUAGCUGUUUCGUAAGUUAACAAAGACCUACCAUUUGCUUCCUAUUUAGUCUAUGGCUGAAUUUGGCAUUUUUGAAAAUCUUUUGAUAGCCUCUGAGAACUUACUAUUAUUUGUACUCAUUUACUUCCUAAUGAAAGCUAUUAACAAGAUUUAUUUUAGGAAGUUUAUCUCAGACAGGUUUAUGUCCUUAUGGAGCUUUCAAUCUUAAUUUCAAAGACGAAAAGGAAAGUUGUGUGUGAAACAGCACAGAGUACUUUACAGCUUGUUGCAAGAGCUACAGGGAGCAGCAUGGACAGUGGAAACUCAAAGUUCUUCAAAAUUUACUUUUUCUUUUGCUCCCUGAAAAUUGUAAUCAGUUCCUCUUUUCCUACUUAACAUGAAAAAUAAGUCCAAUGGAAUAGUCUGUUGAUUAAUAAAGUUCUAUCAUUUCUUCUUCAUGAAAUGACUAAUUUAACAAAUUAAAUCCUUCAUUUAUUAAGGUUUGUUUAUUACUUAUUUUUCCUCUAUUCCUUUCUCUGAGCUACAAAUCACAGAGAUUUAUAUUUACUUAAAAUUUUCUUAGCACUAACAAUUUGCCUAUUUAAUGAUCAUUUAUGGCCCAUCUGUUGUAUUACUUGGGAUAUUUUAAAUUGAAUUGAUAGAACUUUAUAUUCAAUUAAGUAGAAAUACCAAUUCCAGAGAAGGACUCACUAUCUUUAUUUAGACUAUGAUUUGGCUUUGUGUCCUCACCCAAAUCUCAUCUCAAAUUGUAAUCUCCACCUGUCAGGGGAGGGAUCAGGUUGGAGAUGAUUGGAUCAUGAGGGUGGUUUCCCCCAUGCUGUUCUCAGGAUAUUGAGUAACUCAGGAUAGCUGAUGGUUUUAAAGUGUGGCACUUCCUCGUGCUUGCACUUCUCUCUCCUGCCACCAUGUGAAGAAGGGCCUUACUUUCCCUUUGCCUUCCACCAUGAUUGUAAGUUUUUUGAAGCCUCCCCAGCCAUGUGGAACUAUGAGUCAAUUAAACCUCUUUCUUUUAUAAAUUA